UCUUUUCUUAACAGAUUGAGGAAACUGAUGAAGCAAGGAAAAAAUUCUCUAAUGCUAAGGCAAUUUUGUCAUCUCAGUUUUUUGGUACUCAAAACAGAGAAGAGAAAGAGGCUCAGCUAUCCCUUCAGAAAUUCACGGGUUCUUCAUCCAUUUCAAGCUCUGAUCUUUUUGUUCGUACCAAUGUGGACGAUUCUAACCUGGACCUAAGCGCUAAAGAUCUCAUCAACAGUUUGUGAGGUUUUAAUUUGAGUGGCAAUCUGUGAGGUUUUGCAAGAGAGAUGAGCUCACCUUGGCAAUGGUAGUUAAUCUUAUUAAUGCAAACAAGGAUGAUUAAUUUGAUGUACUUUUCUAUGCCUCGUGGUGCCCAUUCUCACAAGAAUGCAUUUGAGGAAUCUGCAAUUAGGCCAAGGCGUCCCACACAUGUAUGACUGUUGGUUGAUUCGUCACUGUGUC